rnacentral:rRNA from 1 species
GACGAACGCUGGCGGCGUGCUUAACACAUGCAAGUCGAACGGAAAGGCCCUGCUUUUGUGGGGUGUUCGAGUGGCGAACGGGUGAGUAACACGUGAGUAACCUGCCCUUGACUUUGGGAUAACUUCAGGGAACUGGGGCUAAUACCGGAUAGGAGCUCCUGCUGCAUGGUGGGGGUUGGAAAGUUUCGGCGGUUGGGGAUGGACUCGCGGCUUAUCAGCUUGUUGGUGGGGUAGUGGCUUACCAAGGCUUUGACGGGUAGCCGGCCUGAGAGGGUGACCGGCCACAUUGGGACUGAGAUACGGCCCAGACUCCUACGGGAGGCAGCAGUGGGGAAUAUUGCACAAUGGGCGGAAGCCUGAUGCAGCAACGCCGCGUGCGGGAUGACGGCCUUCGGGUUGUAAACCGCUUUCGCCUGUGACGAAGCGUGAGUGACGGUAAUGGGUAAAGAAGCACCGGCUAACUACGUG